UUGUGAUUAAUGAUGUUAAUUUUUUUCUUAAGUUGUUAAUGGUGUGUCACAUAUUUUUUCUUUUUCUAAAAUGUGUCAGACCCUGUCACCUGUGAGGCAGACCCUUACACUUGAGGAAAAUAUUAGACCUUGAAACCAAGCUCUGAACAGAUCGGUUCCUUGGGCAGUGGUCAUCGGAGCCAUCGACGACAUCGGAAAGGCCUUCGCCUGCCAGCUGGUAGAGUGAGGGCUCAACCUCAUCCUCGUUAGCAUAACCUUGCAGAAGCUAAAAGUCGUUGCGCGUGAAAUCAAGGCGAAGAAUCCGAACGCGCGCAUGAAGGUGGUGGCGAUGGACUUCGCGUGCGGGGAUCUGUCAGAGGGAUAUCUAUCGCAAUGUCAGAUGGCGUUGCAGAUGAGGCAGAGAUGAAGUAGCACGAUGAGAGUUAUGGGAAUGACUAUAGG
rnacentral:sRNA from 1 species